rnacentral:rRNA from 1 species
CACGUAGGGCGCGAGCGUUGUCCGGAAUCACUGGGCGUAAAGGGUGCGUAGGCGGGUUUUUAAGUCAGGGGUGAAAUCCUGGAGCUCAACUCCAGAACUGCCUUUGAUACUGAAGAUCUUGAGUUCGGGAGAGGUGAGUGGAACUGCGAGUGUAGAGGUGAAAUUCGUAGAUAUUCGCAAGAACACCAGUGGCGAAGGCGGCUCACUGGCCCGAUACUGACGCUGAGGCGCGAAAGCGUGGGGAGCAAACAGG